AAUCUCUUAAAGCCGUUCUCAGUUCGGAUUGUAGGCUGCAACUCGCCUACAUGAAGUCGGAAUCGCUAGUAAUCGCGGAUCAGAAUGCCGCGGUGAAUACGUUCCCGGGUCUUGUACACACCGCCCGUCACACCAUGGGAGUCGGAAAUGCCCGAAGUCUGUGACCCAACCUUAGGGAGGGAGCAGCCGAAGGCAGGUCGGAUGACUGGGGUGAAGUCGUAACAAGGUAUC
rnacentral:rRNA from 1 species